AGACGAAGUCUCACUCUGUCACCCAGGCUGCAGUGCAGUGGCACGAUCUCGGCUCACUACAACCUCCACCUCCCAGGUUUAAGCGAUUCUCCUGCCUCACCCUCCUGAGUAGCUGGGAUUACAGAGUGAAGCCAAAGGCACAGGAAGCACAGCUGGAAUGGGGACAUAGGAACGCGGGGGCUCCCAUGAGUUGACCGGACAACUGAGAGAUGGCAACCUAGACCUGGGGAGCUGACAUAAAAAACACUCAAGAGAACUGAGUCUGGAAAAUGUGAGAAGAAAGUUAAUUUUGGCAAAUUUCUGAGAAAUGAAAAGACGUAUCAACAAGAAAUUUCAUUUCUAAGAGGACAAAAUAUGCUAUGUUUUCGUGAAUCCAUGAUUCGACCUGAAGAAGAAGGAAAGAACUGGACAUCCAGAUGAGUACAUUGAUAUCGAAGAAAAAAAGAGGAGGGAGCACACAGGUGAGCAGGUGCAGGAACCAGCCGGACAAUUUGCCGCCAGCAGGAAUGAACUCCAAGCAGGCCCCACUGCAGUAUCCAGGUCGGGGUGCCUGUGACUUCUGAAGCCACAGAGGCAUUCUUUUGCUACUUACAUGGUGGAACUCCUUGAACAGAAUAACAGACCAUAGUGCCUGCCUGGAAUUCAGACUGGAAAAGAUUGAAAUAUCUGUGUAGUUCAUAUAUCUGAAACACUGACUUCAUCUCACUCAUGAGAAUUCAACAGUUAUGCUAAAGAUUGUGUUAUGGGAGCUCCUAGAGAGCUAGUCCAUCAGGCUCUAAAUUUUUAAACGUGUAAGUUUCAGAAUCACAGAAAUCUUAGAAGAUAUUGAACAGCUAAAGCUUUGAAGCAACGAGACUUUAGAUCCUCUCUCCUCAUUCCUAUUUUCCUCAUCAUAUCAACCUUUUUAAGAAGCAGAAGAAUGAUGAAAGAGAUGGGGCCAACACUCUCAGAGGUGAGAAAAACAGCUGAGCACUGUGGAGGCGGAAGAUACAGAGAGCUCCAUUGCAGCCACAGUGAUGGAUGGCAUCGAUAGAGAAAAUCCCACAAAAGAGCUUGACUUUUCUCAUGAAUCUGCAGUUUCUUCCGAAAAAGUGAAAUUUUAUCAAAUGUUGAGACCCAGAAAAGUUAUCUGUAGACUUCAGCCUUUGCAAAAAAAUGGAAGAAACAAUUGAGAAGCAGACACAGAAGUCAAACUUUUUCAAUAAGCUAAAUUGGAAGAAAGGGCUUAGCACACGGUGUUUCCUAAUCUUUCCUGCCAACCAUUUAUUUAAGCUCAGAUCUUGGGAAGCCCAUCUAAGGGCUUCCAAAGAGAAAAUGCUACUUAUCAAGAAUCAUGCCUUUCCUGUUGCAGAGUAGAAGUAAACAAAAUCAAGAAAUCUCCAAUGCUCACACAAUUUUAACAGGUUUGGCCAAUACAACAGAGACGUGAAAACCAACAGAUGUCCCCCACCAAUCCAGGAAUGAGUGAAUUCUUGCUCUAUCAGGACCUGUGAGACUUCCCUCAAGAGCUGGUUGUUAAAAAGAGCCUAGGACCUCUUCCCUCUCUUGCUUCCUCUCUUGCCUUGUGAUCUUCACAUCCUGACUCUCCUUCACCUUCCACUCUGAGUGGAAGUUUCCUGAGGCUCUCGCAAGAAGCAGAUAUCGGCACCAUGCUUCUUUUACAGUCUUCAUAGUCCUGAGAACAAAACAGUUCAGAUCAACUCAACAAUAUUCCAAGUGGGCUUUGCAGAGCAUCUUCUGGACUAAGUAGAAGGAGAAGGAGAAGGAGCCAGACCUUCCCUGUGGCCAUGCUUUCUCUAAAACAGCCCUGAUGACUUACUUUUUCAGGUUGAGGUCUGAGUAAGCC
rnacentral:lncRNA from 1 species